GAUGAAGAACGUAGCGAAAUGCGAUAAGUAAUGUGAAUUGCAGAAUUCAGUGAAUCAUCGAAUCUUUGAACGCACAUUGCGCCCGCCAGUAUUCUGCCGGGCAUGCCUGUCCGAGCGUCAUUUCUGCCCUCGAGCGAGUCCAGCAUCUAGGUGCUGGGCCCGCCCGGCGUUGGGGCACUACGGGAAGCCCUGUGCUGUCCCCCGUAGGCCCCGAAAUGAAGUGGCGGUCCUGCCGCGGCGCCCCCUGCGUAGUAUAACAGCUCGCUUCGGGACCCGGUGGAGGCCUGCCGUCAAACCUUACUCUCUAAGUUUGACCUCGGAUCAGGUAGGGUUACCCGCUGAACUUAAGCAUAUCAAAAGCGGAGGA
rnacentral:misc_RNA from 1 species